AGUGGCCAGGCAACAGUCUGUGGAGAAACACUAUGGUGGCAUAGUCCUCUGUGCACAUGAAGAAACUGUGGUGGCUGGGGCCACCUGAGCUGGGAAGGUCAGAGGUGGCCUAUCUGGGACCUGAGGUAAAGCAACCAGCUGGGGGAGGGCAUUCUAGGUUCAGGCAAUAGGGCUAGACUUGGAGGAGGUCGUCCCAUUGUGACCAAAUGCAGUCCAGAGGCGCUGGUGACAGGGGCUGGGUGGUGAGACGAGGCCUCUCAAGUUUCAGGUACCUAGUGUGUGGAAGCAGGUGCUCCAAGCUUCCAUGGCCUGGGACAGCAGGCUCUGAGCGUGGAAAUGUGGGGUGGUCUGGUCUAAAUCUUCCUUUUAUUUGUUUUAUUUAUUUAUUUGUAUAUUUGUUUGUUUGUUUGUUUAUUUUGAAAGAGAAUCUCUAUAAGUCCUGGAUGUUCUGGACCUUGUUAUGUCAACCAGGCUGGCCUCAAACUCAGAGCUCUACCUGCUUCAAAGACUUUGGUUUUUUGUAAAGAAAAAAAAAAAAA
rnacentral:lncRNA from 1 species